UUUUCACGAAGAAAGAUUUGAAAUGCUGUUUGCUAAUGGAAGAUGGAGAGAGGAAAAUCAAGUCAAAGGCACGCUGUGCACAGCCAGCACAUAGCAUCUGCGCCGCUCUCCCCCUGCACAAAGGAGGAGCAGCUCAGCAAGCUUGGCCUGAGCCAUGGAAGGGAGCAUGCAAACAUCUGGACCAACCCCAAUGGAGCUGGUUCUGCAGGAAUCCAUGUGGGUUUUUUAAUGAAGAACAGACUCAUUGUGCAGCUUGUGAGUGAAUUCAUUCACACCUUUUAAUUGACGUUCUUCUCUACAUGGAGCUGCAAUUGAAAUGGAUGCUUGUGGUCUGAUGUACAGCCCCGUCUGAUGUGCUCAGAUGAGCCAAGUUUGCAAGGCCUGACUCUCGGUUGUAAGUCCUGUUGUUACAAACAGCAUCUUGGGGGCAACCUUGAUUUCUGCAGCCCCGAGCUUUGUGGCACGAGAGCUCUACGCCAUGCUUCUCCCUGUGAUGUGUGACCGUAUGGAAGGCCUCGCAGAA